CACUAAAGAGAACUUGCCCUUCGGGGUAGAUCUCCCACCCUUUGUUUAUCAUACUUUGUUGCUUUGGCGGGCCUGCCUCACGGCUGCCGGCGUAAGCUGGCUCGCGCCCGCCAGAGACCCCUAAACUCUGAAUAUUGUCGUCUGAGUAAUAUAUAUAAUAAGUUAAAACUUUCAACAACGGAUCUCUUGGUUCUGGCAUCGAUGAAGAACGCAGCGAAAUGCGAUAAGUAAUGUGAAUUGCAGAAUUCAGUGAAUCAUCGAAUCUUUGAACGCACAUUGCGCCCUCUGGUAUUCCGGGGGGCAUGCCUGUUCGAGCGUCAUUACAACCCUCAAGCUCUGCUUGGUAUUGGGCGUCACCACCUGGUGCGCCUCAAAAACAGUGGCGGUGCCGUCGGGCUUCAAGCGUAGUAAUUCUUCUCGCUCCGGAGCCCAGGCGAGUGCUCGCCAGAACCCCCAAUUUAUCAAAGGUUGACCUCGGAUCAGGUAGGGAUACCC
rnacentral:rRNA from 1 species